CCGAGGCCAGGGAGGAAAUGGCAAGGCAGGUUAGGAGGACAUAGCCACAGCUCUGGAAUUGGCCAAGUCCAUCUGGUUGCAUAGGUUGCGAAGUCAAGAGCAGAAGCAGGAGCUGGUGGCAAGGAGCUGUAGCAGUCCUCUAGGUUGCCAUCCCUAUGUACACUAUUGAAUCAUUACAAGUGAGCUACUCAUCGUGGCUCAGGUGCCAACGAUUUAGACCACAAUCUGCAGAGCAAGAGAUACUAUGACGAACCCAGUAGGAAUUAUGGUGGGCCAAGAAGGCAGUGUCCCUGAAUUUUAAAGAAGAUAAACAUUGAAGUGAAGGAUGUAAUUUCUUUUUUUUUCCUGAUAUUCUUUUUAAUUGGGGAAUUAAUGUUUUACAUUCAACAUCACCAAGUUGCAGAUGCUACCAUGACAUCAACUUCCCUGGACAGACAACCUCACCAGUGUAUCCUGGAAUCCCUCCUCUCCAGAGCCCUGCCCGACUAGAGAAAGACAGAAACAGGCUGGGAGUAUGGAUUGAUCAGUCAAUGUCCAUGUCCAGCAGAGAAGGAAUUACAGAAGCCAGACCUCCCACCAUCUGCACCCCAUAAUGAUUCUGGAUCCAUGCUCCCAGAGAGAUAAAAAAUAGGAAAGCUUCCAAUGGAGGGGAUGGGAUAUGGAACUCUGGUAGUGAGAAUUAUACCACUCUUAUCCUA